rnacentral:rRNA from 1 species
GACGAACCGUCCAAACGUUAUUCGGAAUUACUGGGCUUAAAGGGUGCGUAGGCGGCUCUGCAAGUUGGGUGUGAAAUCCCACGGCUCAACCGUGGAAUUGCGCUCAAAACUGCAGGGCUUGAGGGAGACAGAGGUGAGCGGAACUUAUGGUGGAGCGGUGAAAUGCGUUGAUAUCAUAAGGAACACCAGUGGCGAAAGCGGCUUACUGGGUCUCUUCUGACGCUGAGGUACGAAAGCUAGGGGAGCGAACGGG